rnacentral:rRNA from 1 species
GGCAGCAGUGGGGAAUAUUGCACAAUGGGCGCAAGCCUGAUGCAGCCAUGCCGCGUGUAUGAAGAAGGCCUUCGGGUUGUAAAGUACUUUCAGCGGGGAGGAAGGGAGUAAAGUUAAUACCUUUGCUCAUUGACGUUACCCGCAGAAGAAGCACCGGCUAACUCCGUGCCAGCAGCCGCGGUAAUACGGAGGGUGCAAGCGUUAAUCGGAAUUACUGGGCGUAAAGCGCACGCAGGCGGUUUGUUAAGUCAGAUGUGAAAUCCCCGGGCUCAACCUGGGAACUGCAUCUGAUACUGGCAAGC